ACCCUAUGCAGCUUCUACUGACCCUAUGCAGACUCUACNNGCCAACCCAUAAAAAAAUACUUAUAAUGGUGACACAAAAUCGGAGGCCACGACUGUUUACUAAAAACACAACACAGUGCAAUCAUUAAUAUGAUAGUAUACUGUGUGAAAUUUGCCCGAUGCCAUUAAUAUAAGAGCGAUCAUGGUUUUCUGUGAUUAAUCGAAAAUCUGGUUAAUAGCGGUCUUAACUAUGAGGAUCCUAAGGUAGCAAAAUAAAUUGGCCUUUAAAUGAGGCCGGUAUCAAUAAUGUAACGAUGGUCUACUG
rnacentral:rRNA from 1 species